rnacentral:lncRNA from 1 species
CAUAAAAUGACAGCUAACAUGAAAAAGUAACUUCUACUUAGAUAUUACCAGCAUUCGCAGAUUUACGUAGACUAACUGAAAAGGAGCUAGCUGUCGGAUCCGGACAUUGUGAAUUCCAGCCAAGAGAAGAUAAAUUGGCUAUUGCAGAAAAGCUUGGUGGUUUGUUAAGAGGAUCAACGGUUUAGGACUGAUUUCAUCAUGGAAGACUUUUUCCGCUGGACGUGUUCUAACUGGGAAUUUACCUUAUUAUAACCUAAGGAGCAGAAUGAAGUACAGGAAGAUGUGGGCUCUCUACCAUUGUAGAGAAACAGGCAAAACAAUUAUACACUGAAGUCUGGUGUCGACCAUGUUUCAUCUAUAGUAGGUUCCAGAGAUUUAGACAACCGCCAUCAUGUUGAUCAAGGAAUACCGAAUCGGUCUGCCGAUGAGUGUAGACGAGUAUCGCAUUGCCCAGCUCUACAUGAUACAGAAAAAAAGUCGAGAGGAAAGUCAUGGAGAGGGCAGUGGGGUGGAGAUCCUGACUAAUGAACCGUACACUGACGGCCCCGGGGGAGACGGUCAAUACACCUAUAAAAUCUACCACAUAGGGAGCCAUCU